GACAGAGGGGGCAAGCGUUGCUCGGAAUCACUGGGCGUAAAGGGCGCGUAGGCGGGAUGGCAAGUCGGUCGUGAAAUCCUUCGGCUCAACCGAAGAACGUCGGCCGAUACUGCCGUUCUUGAGGGAUGCAGAGGAGAUUGGAAUUCCUGGUGUAGCGGUGAAAUGCGCAGAUAUCAGGAGGAACACCGGUGGCGAAGGCGGGUCUCUGGGCCGUAACUGACGCUGAGGAGCGAAAGCGUGGGGAGCGAACAGG
rnacentral:rRNA from 1 species